UAGGGAAUCUUCGGCAAUGGGGGCAACCCUGACCGAGCAACGCCGCGUGAGUGAAGAAGGUUUUCGGAUCGUAAAGCUCUGUUGUAAGAGAAGAACGUGUGUGAGAGUGGAAAGUUCACACAGUGACGGUAACUUACCAGAAAGGGACGGCUAACUACGUGCCAGCAGCCGCGGUAAUACGUAGGUCCCGAGCGUUGUCCGGAUUUACUGGGCGUAAAGCGAGCGCAGGCGGUUUAAUAAGUCUGAAGUUAAAGGCAGUGGCUUAACCAUUGUUCGCUUUGGAAACUGUUAGACUUGAGUGCAGAAGGGGAGAGUGGAAUUCCAUGUGUAGCAGUGAAAUGCGUAGAUAUAUGGCGGAACACCGGUGGCGAAAGCGGCUCUCUGGUCUGUAACUGACGCUGAGGCGCGAAAGCGUGGGGAGCAAACAGG
rnacentral:rRNA from 1 species